UCCGCGUUAUCCGCGGCGGUUGUCUUAGAGUGCCCAACUGAAUGAUGGCAACUAAGACCGAGGGUUGCGCUCGUUGCGGGACUUAACCCAACAUCUCACGACACGAGCUGACGACAGCCAUGCAACACCUGUCUCCGUUCCAACUAAAUGCUCCUCCCCUUUCAGGGAAGAUCUAACGGGAUGUCAAGGCUAGGUAAGGUUCUUCGCGUAUCUUCGAAUUAAUGGACAUGCUCCUCCACUUGUGCGGGUCCCCGUCAAUUCCUUUGAGUUUUAACCUUGCGGCCGUAAUCCCCAGGCGGUGUGCUUACCGCGUUAGCUGAGCCACCGAGAUCUGUAGCGAUCCCGACAGCGAGCACACAUCGUUUAGGGCGUGGACUAC
rnacentral:misc_RNA from 1 species